rnacentral:rRNA from 1 species
UGCGUAGGCGGUUUUGUAAGUCAGUGGUGAAAUAUAGCAGAUUAACUGUUAGGGUGCCAUUGAUACUGCAGAACUUGAGUACAGAUGAGGUAGGCGGAAUUGACGGUGUAGCGGUGAAAUGCUUAGAUAUCGUCAAGAACACCUAUAGCGAAGGCAGCUUACUAGGCUGUAACUGACGCUGAGGCACGAAAGUGUGGGGAUCAAACAGGAUUAGAUACCCUGGUAGUCC